UUCGGGAUGCCGACGAGUGGCGAACGGGUGAGUAACGCGUGGAUACCUGCCCCGAGGUGUGGGACAACAGCUGGAAACGGCUGCUAAUACCGCAUAAGCCUUACGAGGGAAAGGCGCAAGUCGCCUUGGGAGGGGUCCGCGUCGGAUUAGCUUGUUGGUGGGGUAAAGGCCUACCAAGGCGAUGAUCCGUAGCUGGUCUGAGAGGAUGAUCAGCCACACUGGGACUGAGACACGGCCCAGACUCCUACGGGAGGCAGCAGUGGGGAAUAUUGCGCAAUGGGGGAAACCCUGACGCAGCGAUACCGCGUGGGUGAAGAAGGUCUUCGGAUUGUAAAGCCCUUUCAGCAGGAACGAUGAUGACGGUACCUGCAGAAGAAGCCCCGGCUAACUCCGUGCCAGCAGCCGCGGUAAUACGGAGGGGGCGAGCGUUGUUCGGAAUGACUGGGCGUAAAGGGCGCGUAGGCUGCUCUGCAAG
rnacentral:rRNA from 1 species